rnacentral:rRNA from 1 species
UACAGAGGGGGCAAGCGUUGUUCGGAAUUACUGGGCGUAAAGGGCGCGUAGGCGGCCUUCUAAGUCGAACGUGAAAUCCCCGGGCUCAACCCGGGAACUGCGUCCGAUACUGGAAGGCUUGAAUCCGGGAGAGGGGAGUGGAAUUCCCAGUGUAGAGGUGAAAUUCGUAGAUAUUGGGAAGAACACCGGUGGCGAAGGCGGCUCUCUGGACCGAGACUGACGCUGAGGCGCGAAAGCGUGGGGAUCAAACAGG